GCCGGCGGCACAGCGCGGUGGUCCCACCUGACCCCAUGCCGAACUCAGAAGUGAAACGCCGUAGCGCCGAUGGUAGUGUGGGGUCUCCCCAUGCGAGAGUAGGGAACUGCCAGGC
rnacentral:rRNA from 1 species